UACAGAGGGUGCAAGCGUUAAUCGGAAUUACUGGGCGUAAAGCGCACGUAGGUGGCUGGGUAAGUUGGAUGUGAAAUCCCCGGGCUUAACUUGGGAAUUGCAUUCAAGACUGCCUUGCUAGAGUACGGAAGAGGCGAGUGGAAUUCCCGGUGUAGCGGUGAAAUGCGCAGAUAUCGGGAGGAACACCAAUUGCGAAGGCAGCUCGCUGGGACGUUACUGACGCUGAGACGCGAAAGCGUGGGGAGCAAACAGG
rnacentral:rRNA from 1 species